AUGCAAGUCGAACGGUAACAGAAAGCAGCUUGCUGCUUUGCUGACGAGUGGCGGACGGGUGAGUAAUGUCUGGGGAUCUGCCUGAUGGAGGGGGAUAACUACUGGAAACGGUAGCUAAUACCGCAUAACGUCGCAAGACCAAAGAGGGGGACCUUCGGGCCUCUUGCCAUCAGAUGAACCCAGAUGGGAUUAGCUAGUAGGUGGGGUAACGGCUCACCUAGGCGACGAUCCCUAGCUGGUCUGAGAGGAUGACCAGCCACACUGGAACUGAGACACGGUCCAGACUCCUACGGGAGGCAGCAGUGGGGAAUAUUGCACAAUGGGCGCAAGCCUGAUGCAGCCAUGCCGCGUGUAUGAAGAAGGCCUUCGGGUUGUAAAGUACUUUCAGCGAGGAGGAAGGUGGUGAGUUUAAUACACUCAUCAAUUGACGUUACUCGCAGAAGAAGCACCGGCUAACUCCGUGCCAGCAGCCGCGGUAAUACGGAGGGUGCAAGCGUUAAUCGGAAUUACUGGGCGUAAAGCGCACGCAGGCGGUCUGUCAAGUCGGAUGUGAAAUCCCCGGGCUCAACCUGGGAACUGCAUCCGAAACUGGCAGGCUUGAGUC
rnacentral:rRNA from 1 species